rnacentral:rRNA from 1 species
UGUCCCAGAUCGUUUACCGUGAAAAAAUUAGAGUGUUCAAAGCAGGCAGAUCCAAUUCUCUGCCACCGAAUACAUUAGCACGGGAUAAUGGAAUAUGGCCUGGCCCAGAUCGUUUACCGUGAAGAAAUUAGAGUGUUCAAAGCGGGCGCGAAAGCAAUUUCUCGCCGUUGAAUACGUCAGCAUGGGAUAAUGGAAUAGGACCCCGCUCUCCUAUUUUCCGUUGGUUUCCGGGAGCGGGGUAAUGAUUGAUAGGGAUAGUUGGGGGCAUCGAUAUUUAAUUGUCAGAGGUGAAAUUCUUGGAUUUAUGAAAGAUCGACUUCCGCGAAAGCAUUUGCCAAGGAUGUUUUCAUUAAUCAAGAACGAAAGUUAGGGGAUCGAAGACGAUCAGAUACCGUCGUAGUCUUAACCAUAACCUCCGACCGUAUGCGAAUUUAACGCAC